UGAAGGGCUGCUAAGAACAUGAAUGUGGAAAAUAAAGGAAAGCUUCUGUCACGAAGAUGUUUCUGGACAUUGCCAUGCUGUUUCUGGCAAAUCAUAUCUGAUAAGAUACAGAUUGGUUAUUCAUACUUCCUGGCAGUGGUUAUAAGAGGAGGAUGACUGAGAAUUUAGUAGUUGGGAGAGACAGUAUAUAUAUGCUUCUAAUGUGCUCUUCGACUCAUUACCCAGCUGCAGAAAGUGCUCCAGUAUGCAAGUACAGGAGAUGUGUUUGUGUCUGGUCAUCUCUGGAAUGCGUAGCCGGCAAGCGAAAGGCUGGGAAACUCUGGUGGACGGCUGUGCCACUGAUGACCUGCCAGCACUGACAGCCUGGUCUCUGAUGCUGGAGGGGAAUCAUGGGUGUCUCUGCAGCACUGAGGGUCUCCAGAAUGAUGGGAAUUUGAAAGCUGGAAGGAUGUCCCAUACCAGGAUCUCCUGGUGUUUGCUGAAGUCCCUUAGGGCCUUGCAACUGGCACUCAGCAGUUUGUAGGAUUGGGCUUCUGCUGGCUGGAGAGAAAAAAACCUCAUUGGUGCAGCCUUUCUGUGUGUGCAAAAGGCCUGAAAACUGAUGAAAUUAAAAUGAUCACACAUGUCCUUCAGCUUAGGAAAAGAGAGCUCUAAGUGAGAGCAUGUGUGCUCUUACUGGGGCUGAGAAAAUGUCAGUCUGAUGUUCUUGGGAAGUUCAUAUUGAUACAAACAGGGAGGCUCCCUGCUGCCCACAGAUUUCCCACAUAAAAGUCCUACUGGUAGCCGUGGGAACUUAGCAGCAGCCACGCUGUGGCUAAAGUCACCACUCUAAAAAUGCAGUGAAAUUAGUGUUCAUAAAAGUGAAAAACAUGCCACAAGAAUGAAGAUGUUCUGAUUCACAGCCAUGAAAAUUACAUGAGUUCUGGCAUUAAAAAAAAAAAAAAGGCAGCUAAAUUUCGCAGUUACUCUGGCUUCAGAAGGGGAUUGCUGGUGAAUUUUUAAGAGUUUCCUUUGAGAAAAAAUUCUUGGCUAUCCUCAAAUCAAUUUGUUGCACCAAAACAUACCCGCCUCUCCCAAGUGGUGCUCACUGGUCCUUCUCGCCAGCCCGGUGGAAAGGGCCGAUCCUGUGCUGCACAGUGGCCCCUAGUGAAAGUGAGUAGUUUGUUCCAGAGUCAGUGAAAUAAUUUCCAGCAGCUGGUUUGUUACUAAUUUCAGUUCUGCCUUCCGAUCUGACCCUCAUCUCACUCAAACUAUGCCACUUGCUACGUUAUUUUUUAAGACAAAUAAAAAGACCUCACAGGAGGGCAUGAUGGACCAACAGACUUGUCCCAGUGUAAGCUGAGCAUGGACCUGGGACUCAGAGGCAAAGGUAAUAUUAGGAAUAAUGCAGCCUUAGCAAUAUAAUUUAGCACCAUUUUCAGUUUGAAUUUUCUUUUUUUUUUUCUUUUUUUUUCCUGCUAUGUGUGCUAUAAGGAGAUGGGACAGUUAUGCCAGCUGCCACUCUUGCUAGCUAGAAUUUGGAUUUCUGUGUUGCAUCUCUGUUCCAAUUACACAGACUCGCCCUCAAAGAGAUAUUCUUAUCCCUUGCAGCUUUUAUGUUCUUGCACCACAAGGAUCUGAAACAUCAAAUCUGCUUGUUCUAUCAAUCCUGUUUUCCUUGAUUUUCCAGGAGAGAUGCUACAAAGUGACAAGCAUCGCUCUCUUUCCUCCUCAAGGUGCUCCCUCUGCCACCAUGCCAUCUUGCAGAGCAGCAGCAGUAAAAGCUACCUUGGGGAGGAGGUGACAACUGGCUAUUGUUCUCGCUGGGCAGACACCACCUUCCCAUCCCCACCCCCAUGCCAGCAACAGCUUAUGACAGCAGCAAUCUUAAAAAUAAAACAGGAAAUGAUUUCAAUAGGGGAUGUGGUGGCUGACAGAGAAAAGUGGGGUAGGUCUGAAGUGCUGUUGUUCUUUCAUGUGAGCACCAGGGCCCUGCAGAAAGGUUGCAAAGGAACGAAUGUUUGUGCAGCCUUUCAUGUGGCAGAGGGACCUGUGCUUGUUUUUGUUGUUGCUGCUGCUGAGACCCAUUGUGGUGGCUGUCCUCAUGACCUGGGUCCCAACACUGCUGGUCGUGGUGUGGCAGCAUUUUGCUGGAGCUGUGUGGUCCCGAGGUGCUGUUGGCACACACUUGCCAAGUGUGUAGGCAUUGCUCAGUGGUCUGGCCUGAGUCUGGGCCACUGUGAUAACCCCUUGACUUCAACUCUGAACUACUUCCUUGCACUACCUGUAGCUGGGCUAGCUGCGCUCUGGCCAGUAAACAAUUCACUUGCCCACCACAUUCCAGUAAGAUAUUGUUUUGGUCUGAUGCCUGAAGGAAACAUCUAUUUAACCUGCUAUUUAUUCUGAAAAGAAGCUUCAGCAUUUGACUGAAUUAUUGAAGAGGAAUGCUUCAAAUGCCCCAACCCUGCAUGCUAAGAGCUCCUCAUCCUCCCUGUUUUCUCCUGGAGGAUCAGCUGAAAGAAAGAAGAGGACUGGGUGAGUGCUGCUUCAAGAAUAUGGAGCAGUCAGAGCCUUUCAGGCUAAAAUGUGCUUCUUGGCCUCGGAAAGCUAGUGUGUUC